UACAGAGACCUCAAGCGUUAUCCGGAAUCAUUGGGCGUAAAGCGUACCGAUAGGUGGUUUUACAAGUCAGAAGAGAAAUCUCUCAGCUUAACUGGGAGACUGUCUUUUGAAACUGUAAAACUAGAGGGGCAAAGAGGAAGCUGGAACAAGCGGUGUAGUAGUGAAAUGCGUAGAGAUCAGGAGGAACACCGGUGGCGAAGGCGGCCCACUGGGCAGUCACUGACGCUGAGGCGCGAAAGCUCGGGGAGCGAACGGG
rnacentral:rRNA from 1 species